AAAUGAAUUGACGGGGGCCCGCACAAGCAGCGGAGCAUGUUGUUUAAUUCGAAGCAACGCGAAGAACCUUACCAUGUCUUGACAUCGAUCCAAGGCUGCAGAGAUGCGGCGUGUUCUUCGGAACAGGAGAAGACAGGUGGUGCAUGGUUGUCGUCAGCUCGUGUCGUGAGAUGUUGGGUUAAGUCCCGCAACGAGCGCAACCCUUAUGGUCAGUUACUAACGCGUGAUGGCGAGGACUCUGACAAGACUGCCGGGGACAACUCGGAGGAAGGUGGGGACGACGUCAAAUCAUCAUGCCCCUUAUGACAUGGGCUACAAACGUGCUACAAUGGUGGCCACAAAGAGGAGCGAACCUGUAAAGGCAAGCGGAUCUCAAAAAAGCCAUCUCAGUUCGGACUGUGGGCUGCAACCCGCCCACACGAAGUUGGAGUUGCUAGUAAUCGCGGAUCAGCAUGCCGCGGUGAAUACGUUCCCGGGCCUUGUACACACCGCCCGU
rnacentral:rRNA from 1 species